CCCAAAUAAGACAACCCAAAAAAGAAAAAAAAGUUUUGGUUAUCCUCGUUCCCAACCUCGAACUCUCCGAAAACCGGACACUUUCGUCUCUUGGCAGGCGGGCAGCUGCCUUCAUCUACUCCAAUGGCAGAAAACAAUCUGCCCGCAAUCUGAAAAUCCUUUCACCAGCGAGCAUCUGAGGCUGAGGUUUCUGAUCUCUUUUUAGCUCGUUAACGCCCACAUUAUGGGUCUAAAUCUUGACUCGAUUGGAAAGACGUGAAGCUGCUAUUGCUAGUGACAGAAAUGCUGGGAAUGAGAAAUUAUUGAAUAAGGUCCUUGAGCUUUAGUCAAAGCUAGAAAAUGUGAAAGCGGAACAAGCUUUAGAAAGAGAAAAGGCUCAGAAAGAGCUAAAGCAGCUAAAUGCAGAAAAUGCCAAGCUCCAAUAUCGUAUAACACAUCUUGUUUGAGCACUAAAGGAUGCUGAUUGUAUGUUACAAUCUAAGUGAGGGAAGAAUGAUAUACCAUUUUGUGGCCUGAAAGUGUACCAUGAUCAAAAGCAGCAGAUAAACUCCAAUGGUUUAUUUUUUUAGCUUUCUUCAAAUUUGUGUACCUGCGAAUGGUCUCUGUUUGGACUACUAAAUGGAGGCAAGUCUCGGAUUGUUUUGGCCUUUGAUUUCAAAAUGAUAAGGUAAACACCCAAUUCAUCACUCAGUAGAAAACUCCCAAUCCUGACAAUACCCUCAUUCAGUAAAUUUGUCU